rnacentral:rRNA from 1 species
AGGGUUCGAUUCUGGCUCAGGAUGAACGCUGGCGGCGUGCUUAACACAUGCAAGUCGAACGGGAUCCAUCAGGCUUUGCUUGGUGGUGAGAGUGGCGAACGGGUGAGUAAUGCGUGACCGACCUGCCCCAUACACCGGAAUAGCUCCUGGAAACGGGUGGUAAUGCCGGAUGCUCCAGUUGAUCGCAUGGUCUUCUGGGAAAGCUUUCGCGGUAUGGGAUGGGGUCGCGUCCUAUCAGCUUGACGGCGGGGUAACGGCCCACCGUGGCUUCGACGGGUAGCCGGCCUGAGAGGGCGACCGGCCACAUUGGGACUGAGAUACGGCCCAGACUCCUACGGGAGGCAGCAGUGGGGAAUAUUGCACAAUGGGGGAAACCCUGAUGCAGCAACGCCGCGUGAAGGAUGACGGUUUUCGGAUUGUAAACUUCUUUUCUUAGUGACGAAGACAGUGACGGUAGCUAAGGAAUAAGCAUCGGCUAACUACGUGCCAGCAGCCGCGGUAAUACGUAGGAUGCAAGCGUUAUCCGGAUUUACUGGGUGUAAAGGGAGCGCAGGCGGGACUGCAAGUUGGAUGUGAAAUACCGUGGCUUAACCACGGAACUGCAUCCAAAACUGUAGUUCUUGAGUGAAGUAGAGGCAAGCGGAAUUCCGAGUGUAGCGGUGAAAUGCGUAGAUAUUCGGAGGAACACCAGUGGCGAAGGCGGCUUGCUGGGCUUUAACUGACGCUGAGGCUCGAAAGUGUGGGGAGCAAACAGGAUUAGAUACCCUGGUAGUCCACACUGUAAACGAUGAUAGCUAGGUGUGGGGGGUCUGACCCCUUCCGUGCCGGAGUUAACGCAAUAAGCUAUCCACCUGGGGAGUACGACCGCAAGGUUGAAACUCAAAGGAAUUGACGGGGGCC